AAUGAUUAACUACCAUGCUGUCAUAGUGAAGAGCAAAAUCAGGUCCCUGCAGUAUAGAAAGAAGGGCUUCAUAGCAAGAAAAGAGAAAGCAGCUUCACAAAGUAGACAUAAGGGGCAAAUAGAGAUAGUUUAUGUAGAGAGUAUUAGAAAAGAAGGGAUUCCAAGCACUUUCACAGGCGCUAGGUCCAGAAUAACAAGAAUGAAGGCCAUAAAGAUAAGGACCGGAGAACAGCUCAAAAACAUUUGGCAGGGAGGUGAUUAGAUGUCUGAGGUGCAAGCUGAAACCAGUCUGGGGGAUGCCCCCCCCUUCAGGGUCAGAAGUUUGCAGCGAGGAAGACUACGAGCCUUCAUCAUCACGACCUACUACGCACGCGCAAGGGGGGGAGGGACUGUAUGCUAAUGGACUCUCGGGAAUGUAGUGAGGAAGUUGGAGGCAUCUGCUGGAAUCCUUUGGGGCAAAGGCUGGUGACUCUGGAUGUGCCUCUGGGAGCAUCACAAUUGCUGAUGAUCAUCGUCAGAGCUGUGUUUUCCUCUACCUGGAGCUGCAGCAGCACGAGUGCAGAAAAACAGAACAAUUGUAAAGGGUUUUCUGAAGGACCCUUUUCUGUUCCAUCACACAAUAGCCCUCUUGGCUUGGUCCUCCAGGCAACCAUGUCUGUGGGUCCCCCUUCCCCGUUAGUCACAGAACUGGGCUGAACCAGCCCAUAAACCACUGUCAGUUUUUUUUGUUCAGGCAUACUUAUUGUCUUAAAAUAAAGUUAUUUUUGCAAUUUA